GGCGCGGUGGCUGAGUGGUAAAGCGCUUGGCUUCUGAACCAGGGGUCCCCGGGUUUGAAUCCUGGUUGAAACA
rnacentral:tRNA from 1 species